GCAGCCGGCCGGUCUGUCGCUGAUACCGAAUGGUAAAAGAGGAAAGUCCGGGCAACACAGAGCAUCCUACUUUUUAACGGAAAGCCGUCUGCAAAGGUGGAGUAAUGCAGAAGAAAAGAACCGCCAGGUUUCCUCAACGAGAAUCUCCGGAUUCUAAUGAGGUUGCUUGGUAAGGGUGAGAAGGUGGGGUAAGAGCCCACCAGCCGCAUGGUGACAUGUCGGGCUGUGCAUCUUAGGAGUUGUAAGGUCAUGUAAACCGGCAUUAUGAGGGUUGCUCGCCCCACGUCGGAGGGUAGACCGCUUGAGCUUGUUGGUGACAACAGGUGUAGAUAAAUGACAGGCGCCCGUCUUUAAAGGACGGGAACAGAACCCGGCUUAUAGGCUGACUGCUUUU
rnacentral:RNase_P_RNA from 1 species